rnacentral:tRNA from 1 species
GCGGAGUACCUCAUGGCGAGGAAGCUGGCUGUAACCCAGUUCUGAAAUAAUAGUAGGGCCGGGGGUUCGAUUCCCUCACUCCGCAC